UACGAAGGGGGCUAGCGUUGUUCGGAUUUACUGGGCGUAAAGCGCACGUAGGCGGAUCGUUAAGUCGGGGGUGAAAUCCUGGAGCUCAACUCCAGAACUGCCUUCGAUACUGGCGAUCUCGAGUCCGGAAGAGGUGAGUGGAACUCCUAGUGUAGAGGUGGAAUUCGUAGAUAUUAGGAAGAACACCAGUGGCGAAGGCGACUCACUGGUCCGGUACUGACGCUGAGGUGCGAAAGCGUGGGGAGCAAACAGGG
rnacentral:rRNA from 1 species